rnacentral:rRNA from 1 species
AGAUUGAACGCUGGCGGCAUGCCUAACACAUGCAAGUCGAACGGGAGUAGCAAUACUCUAGUGGCGGACGGGUGAGGAAUACGUAGGAAUUUGCCCUUAAGUGGGGGAUAACCCGGGGAAACCCGGAUUAAUACCGCAUGACCUCGAAAGAGCAAAGUGGGGGAUCGCAAGACCUCACGCUUUUUGGAGAAGCCUACGUCGGAUUAGCUAGUUGGUGAGGUAAUGGCUCACCAAGGCGACGAUCCGUAACUGGUCUGAGAGGAUGAUCAGUCACACCGGAACUGAGACACGGUCCGGACUCCUACGGGAGGCAGCAGUGGGGAAUAUUGGACAAUGGGCGCAAGCCUGAUCCAGCAAUGCCGCGUGUGUGAAGAAGGCCUUCGGUUGUAAAGCGACUUUAAGUUAGGGAAGAAAAACUACGCUACUAACACAGUAGAGUCUUGACGGUACCGACAGAAUAAGACACGCUAACUCUGUCGCCAGCAGCCGC